rnacentral:rRNA from 1 species
UACGGGGGGAGCAAGCGUUGUUCGGAUUUACUGGGCGUAAAGGGCGCGUAGGCGGUCAGCACAAGUCAGUUGUGAAAUCUCCGGGCUUAACUCGGAAAGGUCAACUGAUACUGUGCGACUAGAGUGCAGAAGGGGCAACUGGAAUUCUCGGUGUAGCGGUGAAAUGCGUAGAUAUCGAGAGGAACACCUGCGGCGAAGGCGGGUUGCUGGGCUGACACUGACGCUGAAGCGCGAAAGCUAGGGGGAGCGAACGGG